UACGUAGGGUGCGAGCGUUUAAUCGGAAUUACUGGGCGUAAAGUGUGCGCAGGCGGUUUGUCGCGUCGGGAGUGAAAACCUCGGGCUUAACUCGGGGCUUGCUUUCGAUACUGGCAGGCUUGAAUUCGGGAGAGGGAUGCGGAAUUCCAGGUGUAGCGGUGAAAUGCGUAGAUAUCUGGAGAACACCGGUGGCGAAGGCGGCAUCCUGGACCGAGAUUGACGCUGAUGCGCGAAAGCCAGGGGAGCAAACGG
rnacentral:rRNA from 1 species